AUUGAACGCUGGCGGCAGGCCUAACACAUGCAAGUCGAACGGUAACAGGAAGCAGCUUGCUGCUUCGCUGACGAGUGGCGGACGGGUGAGUAAUGUCUGGGAAACUGCCUGAUGGAGGGGGAUAACUACUGGAAACGGUAGCUAAUACCGCAUAACGUCGCAAGACCAAAGAGGGGGACCUUAGGGCCUCUUGCCAUCGGAUGUGCCCAGAUGGGAUUAGCUAGUAGGUGGGGUAACGGCUCACCUAGGCGACGAUCCCUAGCUGGUCUGAGAGGAUGACCAGCCACACUGGAACUGAGACACGGUCCAGACUCCUACGGGAGGCAGCAGUGGGGAAUAUUGCACAAUGGGCGCAAGCCUGAUGCAGCCAUGCCGCGUGUAUGAAGAAGGCCUUCGGGUCGUAAAGUACUUUCAGCGGGGAGGAAGGGAGUAAAGUUAAUACCUUGGCUCAUUGACGUUACCCGCAGAAGAAGCACCGGCUAACUCCGUG
rnacentral:rRNA from 1 species